UACGAAGGGGGCUAGCGUUGCUCGGAAUGACUGGGCGUAAAGGGCGCGUAGGCGGCUUGCACAGUCAGGCGUGAAAUUCCUGGGCUCAACCUGGGGACUGCGCUUGAGACGUGUGGGCUUGAGUGGGGAAGAGGGUCGUGGAAUUCCCAGUGUAGAGGUGAAAUUCGUAGAUAUUGGGAAGAACACCGGUGGCGAAGGCGGCGACCUGGUCCUUGACUGACGCUGAGGCGCGAAAGCCGUGGGGAGCAAACAGG
rnacentral:rRNA from 1 species